rnacentral:tRNA from 1 species
GCGAUUUUAGUUUAAUUUAAGAUGAUAGUCUGUCUCACUAUAGAUGGUGUUUACCAAAUUGCU